AUUGAACGCUGGCGGCAUGCCUUACACAUGCAAGUCGAACGGCAGCACGGGUGCUUGCACCUGGUGGCGAGUGGCGAACGGGUGAGUAAUACAUCGGAACAUGUCCUGUAGUGGGGGAUAGCCCGGCGAAAGCCGGAUUAAUACCGCAUACGAUCCACGGAUGAAAGCGGGGGACCUUCGGGCCUCGCGCUAUCGGGUUGGCCGAUGGCUGAUUAGCUAGUUGGUGGGGUAAAGGCCUACCAAGGCGACGAUCAGUAGCUGGUCUGAGAGGACGACCAGCCACACUGGGACUGAGACACGGCCCAGACUCCUACGGGAGGCAGCAGUGGGGAAUUUUGGACAAUGGGCGAAAGCCUGAUCCAGCAAUGCCGCGUGUGUGAAGAAGGACUUCGGGUUGUAAAGCACUUUUGUCCGGAAAGAAAUCCUUGACUCUAAUACAGUCGGGGGAUGGCGGUACCGGAAGAAUAAGCACCGGCUAACUACGUG
rnacentral:rRNA from 1 species